rnacentral:rRNA from 1 species
UACGUAGGGUGCGAGCGUUAAUCGGAAUUACUGGGCGUAAAGUGUGCGCAGGCGGCCGAGCAAGUCGAGUGUGAAAGCCCCGAGCUUAACUUGGGAACUGCGCUCGAAACUACUUGGCUUGAGUGUGGCAGAGGAAGGUGGAAUUCCACGUGUAGCGGUGAAAUGCGUAGAGAUGUGGAGGAACACCGAUGGCGAAGGCAGCCUUCUGGGCCAACACUGACGCUCAUGCACGAAAGCGUGGGGAGCAAACAGG